rnacentral:rRNA from 1 species
AGAGUUUGAUCCUGGCUCAGAACGUACGCUGGCGGCACGCCUAACACAUGCAAGUCGAACGCAGUAGCAAUACUGAGUGGCAGACGGGUGAGUAACAUGUGGGAAUCUGCCUUGUGGUUCAGGACAACAUUGGGAAACCGAUGCUAAUACUGGAUAAGCCCUUACGGGGAAAGUUUUAAUGCCAUAAGAUGAGCCCGCAUUUGAUUAGUUAGUUGGUGAGGUAAUGGCUCACCAAGACAAUGAUCAAUAGCUGAUCUGAGAGGAUGAUCAGCCACACUGGGACUGAGACACGGCCCAGACUCCUACGGGAGGCAGCAGUGGGGAAUCUUGCACAAUGGAGGAAACUCUGAUGCAGCGAUGCCGCGUGAGUGAAGAAGGCCUUUGGGUUGUAAAGCUCUUUUGUAGGGGAAGAUAAUGACUGUACCCUAAGAAUAAGGUCCGGCUAACUUCGUGCCAGCAGCCGCGGUAAUACGAAGGGACCUAGCGUAGUUCGGAAUUACUGGGCGUAAAGCGCGCGUAGGCCGUUGAGUUAGUUAAUUGUGAAAUCCCAAAGCUUAACUUUGGAACUGCAAUUAAAACUGCUCGACUAGAGUUUGAUAGAGGAAAGCGGAAUACAUAGUGUAGAGGUGAAAUUCGUAGAUAUUAUGUAGAACACCAGUUGCGAAGGCGGCUUUCUGGAUCAACACUGACGCUGAGGCGCGAAAGU